AUGCCCACAAGUUGCAAUGAUGACACAUAUAUGUCAACUAUGGGUGUUGGCUCCAACAAUUCUCAUUGGUCUCAAACCAAUGAAGUGUAUGAAGAUGAUCAUUUUGAGUGGGAGGUGGACGAGGAUGGUGAGGGUAUUGUCGAUGCACCGAAAGAAAGAGCGGGCAACUACACCAUGGACGAAGACAUCUUGCUAUGCAAUACAUGGUUGCAUGUGUCUAUGGAUGCCAACAUUAGAGGGGACCAAAGUAGAGAUGCAUAUUGGGACCGGAUGAAGGAGCACUUUGAUUUACACAACAAGAGUGGAAUUGACCGCAUGGGUAGAUCUCUUCGCUCCCGGUGGUCGACAAUCAACAAAUAUUAUCAAAGGUGGGCGGCAGCACUUAAGGCAGUUGACACGAUA
rnacentral:rRNA from 1 species